rnacentral:rRNA from 1 species
AUGAUUAAAAAUGCUCAGAAAAAUAAGCUGAUAGUAGGCCUAGCUUCCGAUCUUAUCCCUGAUGGAGUGGCGGUCCUUCAAUACGCAGAUGACACCAUUAUCUGCAUAGAGGAUGACAUUGACAAAGCAAUCAACCUGAAGUUGUUGCUGUACAUGUUUGAGAUGAUGUCUGGCCUGAAAGUUAACUUUCAGAAGAGCGAAAUUCUUACUGUAGGUGGAGAUGAGACUGUUGUCAAUAAAUAUGCCGAGAUAUUUGAUUAUGAGGUUGGCAGCUUUCCACUUAAAUACCUAGGCAUGCCUGUCAGCUAUGCUAACCUGAAAACCUCUGAUUGGGAAUUCAUUGUUAGCAAUUACUUGAAAAGGUUCGAUGCCUGGAUUGGCAAUGCUGCCUCGGUGGGGGGGGGGAGACAUAGCCUGCUUGAUUCGGUUGUCACACAGCUCUCCCUUUACCACAUGUCGAUGUGGCUGAUGAAUAAAACCUUCAUUGAAAGGCUAGACAAACACAGACGAUGUUUCUUUUGGCAAGGGUGUAACAAAAAGAAAAGAUACUAUCUUGUCAAGUGGAGUAGGAUUUGUAGAUCCAGAGACAAAGGGGGCUUAGGCAUAAAAGACCUCCGGAAACAAAAUAUUAGUCUCAUGGUUAAAUGGUGGUGGAAGUUAGAGACCCAGAAUGGGUUGUGGCAAGAAAUUGUCCGUGCCAGAUAUCUCCGCAACAAAUCUGUUGCUGACGUUACCCCCGGUUCUCUGAUUCGCCUUGCUGGAAAAACCUGCUUAAAGUGA